AGUGAACGCUGGCGGUAGGCCUAACACAUGCAAGUCGAACGGCAGCACAGAGGAGCCUGCUCCUUGGGUGGCGAGUGGCGGACGGGUGAGGAAUACAUCGGAAUCUACUCCGUCGUGGGGGAUAACGUAGGGAAACUUACGCUAAUACCGCAUACGACCUACGGGUGAAAGCAGGGGACCUUCGGGCCUUGCGCGAUUGAAUGAGCCGAUGUCGGAUUAGCUAGUUGGCGGGGUAAAGGCCCACCAAGGCGACGAUCCGUAGCCGGUCUGGGAGGAUGAUCAGCCACACUGGAACUGAGACACGGGCCAGACUCCUACGGGGGGCAGCAGUGGGGAAUAUUGGACAAUGGGCGCAAGCCUGAUCCAGCCAUACCGCGUGGGUGAAGAAGGCCUUCGGGUUGUAAAGCCCUUUUGUUGGGAAAGAAAUCCAGCUGGCUAAUACCCGGUUGGGAUGACGGUACCCAAAGAAUAAGCACCGGCUAACUUCGUGCCAGCCGCCGCCGUAA
rnacentral:rRNA from 1 species